rnacentral:snRNA from 1 species
GUGCUCGCUUCGGCAGCACAUAUACUAAAAUUGGAAUGAUACAGAGAAGAUUAGCAUGGCGCCUGCACAGGAAUGACACACAAAUUCAUGAAGCGUUCCAUAUUUUU